CGCGGCCUAUCAGCUUGUUGGUGGGGUAAUGGCCUACCAAGGCGACGACGGGUAGCCGACCUGAGAGGGCGACCGGCCACACUGGGACUGAGACACGGCCCAGACUCCUACGGGAGGCAGCAGUGGGGAGUAUUGCACAAUGGGCGAAAGCCUGAUGCAGCGACGCCGCGUGAGGGAUGACGGCCUUCGGGUUGUAAACCUCUUUCAGCAGGGACGAAGCGCAAGUGACGGUACCUACGGAAGAAGCACCGGCUAACUACGUGCCAGCAGUCGCGGUAAUACGUAGGGUGCAAGCGUUGUCCGGAAUUACUGGGCGUAAAGAGUUCGUAGGCGGUUUGUCGCGUCGUUUGUGAAAACCAGCAGCUCAACUGCUGGCUUGCAGGCGAUACGGGCAGACUUGAGUACUGCAGGGGAGACUGGAAUUCCUGGUGUAGCGGUGAAAUGCGCAGAUAUCAGGAGGAACACCGGUGGCGAAGGCGGGUCUCUGGGCAGUAACUGACGCUGAGGAACGAAAGCGUGGGUAGCGAACAGGAUUAGAUACCCUGGUAGUCCACGCCGUAAACGGUGGGCGCUAGGUGUGGGUUCCUUCCACGGAAUCCGUGCCGUAGCUAACGCAUUAAGCGCCCCGCCUGGGGAGUACGG
rnacentral:rRNA from 1 species